rnacentral:piRNA from 1 species
AGAGCUAUGUCACCAUAGACCUGUGU